rnacentral:rRNA from 1 species
CUAUCUGCAGUCGAGCGAACUGAUUAGAAGCUUGCUUCUAUGACGUUAGCGGCGGACGGGUGAGUAACACGUGGGCAACCUGCCUGUAAGACUGGGAUAACUUCGGGAAACCGAAGCUAAUACCGGAUAGGAUCUUCUCCUUCAUGGGAGAUGAUUGAAAGAUGGUUUCGGCUAUCACUUACAGAUGGGCCCGCGGUGCAUUAGCUAGUUGGUGAGGUAACGGCUCACCAAGGCAACGAUGCAUAGCCGACCUGAGAGGGUGAUCGGCCACACUGGGACUGAGACACGGCCCAGACUCCUACGGGAGGCAGCAGUAGGGAAUCUUCCGCAAUGGACGAAAGUCUGACGGAGCAACGCCGCGUGAGUGAUGAAGGCUUUCGGGUCGUAAAACUCUGUUGUUAGGGAAGAACAAGUACAAGAGUAACUGCUUGUACCUUGACGGUACCUAACCAGAAAGCCACGGCUAACUACGUGCCAGCAGCCGCGGUAAUACGUAGGUGGCAAGCGUUAUCCGGAAUUAUUGGGCGUAAAGCGCGCGCAGGCGGUUUCUUAAGUCUGAUGUGAAAGCCCACGGCUCAACCGUGGAGGGUCAUUGGAAACUGGGGAACUUGAGUGCAGAAGAGAAAAGCGGAAUUCCACGUGUAGCGGUGAAAUGCGUAGAGAUGUGGAGGAACACCAGUGGCGAAGGCGGCUUUUUGGUCUGUAACUGACGCUGAGGCGCGAAAGCGCGGGGAGCAAACAGGAUUAGAUACCCUGGUAGUCCACGCCGUAAACGAUGAGUGCUAAGUGUUAGAGGGUUUCCGCCCUUUAGUGCUGCAGCUAACGCAUUAAGCACUCCGCCUGGGGAGUA